GACGAACGCUGGCGGCGUGCUUAACACAUGCAAGUCGAACGGAAAGGCCCUGCUUUUGUGGGGUGCUCGAGUGGCGAACGGGUGAGUAACACGUGAGUAACCUGCCCUUGACUUUGGGAUAACUUCAGGAAACUGGGGCUAAUACCGGAUAGGAGCUCCUGCUGCAUGGUGGGGGUUGGAAAGUUUCGGCGGUUGGGGAUGGACUCGCGGCUUAUCAGCUUGUUGGUGGGGUAGUGGCUUACCAAGGCUUUGACGGGUAGCCGGCCUGAGAGGGUGAACGGCCACAUUGGGACUGAGAUACGGACCAGACUCCUACGGGAGGCAGCAGUGGGGAAUAUUGCACAAUGGGCGGAAGCCUGAUGCAGCAGCGCCGCGUGCGGGAUGACGGCCUUCGGGUUGUAAACCGCUUUCGCCUGUGACGAAGCGUGAGUGACGGUAAUGGGUAAAGAAGCACCGGCUAACUACGUG
rnacentral:rRNA from 1 species